GGCCUGAUGGUCUAGUAGCAUGAUUCCUCGUUUGGGUAAUUCUUUGUAUAGCUAAUUCGAGGAGGUCCGGGGUUCAACUCCCCGUCAGGCCC
rnacentral:tRNA from 1 species